GGAUAACUAAGGUGCACUAAAAUUGGGGGAGCAGGCAAGGCAUGUCACCUCAGGUGUGUGACAAUUAUUUUAUAUAUAUGUAUAUAUAUAUUCCAUCCACCAUCCCUCCUUCACGGAGAACUGCGUUAUUUUUAUUGUCCAUUGUGAAAAAAAACACAAAAAAAGAAGAAAUAUCUAUAUAUAUAUAUAUAUACACAUAUAUAUAUGGGUGUAUCGAGACUAGAUGGUCAGGUUGGAUAACUAAGGUGCACUAAAAUUGGGGGAGCAGGCAAGGUAUGUCACCCCAGGUGUGUGACAAAUAUUUUAUAUAUAUGUAUAUAUAUAUUCCAUCCACCACCCCUCCUCUGCGGAGGACUGCUUUAUUUUUAAUUUCCAUUUCAAACAAAAAAAAACACAAAAAAUAAACAAAGAAAAACAACGUGUCUGCUAUUGGUUGUGUAUGUGUAUCUACAUGUGUGGGGUGUACAGGUAAGUGUGGAUGCAUACCUAUAUAUGGAUGUAUUUAUGCGUGUGUGUGAGUGUAGCGAUUUGUCCAUGGAUGUGCUAAUAGCUGAUGUGGGGAGUAGCAGCGACACCCCCCCCAUUCUGACCCCCCGGCAUGCGACCACCAGUAGUGCUGAGGGGGAGCGGGAAGUAGAGGGGGGCCGUGGAAAGGGCCCACCCCACUUUCCAGGAAGCCGAACCCAGGGCCACAGAAGAAGGUAGGCACCCCCACCCAGCACAAGACCAAACCACAAAGCCGCCUUCGACGCACGUAGUCUCCCAAAGUACCCGGAAUACCCGUCAGGACCCUGACCCACAGUGACACAACUCACGCAACAACCCAGCCCACCACCAGCAGAGGGGGUCAGACCCCUUCGGGACCACCCAUAACACCCGACAAACUGCGCAGGCUCAGGGAGAUAUAUGUCACCCCGGUUGCGUGACAAUUAUUUUUUUUUACAUGCAUAUGCCCUCCACCACCCCUCCUCUGCGGAGGACUACUUUAUUUUAAAUUUCCAUUAUAAAGAAAAAAAAACCACAAAAACUAAGAAAAACAAAAAGAAAAUAAAAAUACUAAAAAUAAAUAAAAAGAAAAACAACUAGAGCAAAUAACAAUAGUAAUAGCAAUAACAAAAAUGAUAAGUACAGCUGCAGUUAUGACAACAACAAUAACAAUAAAUAGCAACAUCAACCUCCAUAUAAUAAUUAUUUUUUUUUACAUGUAUAUUCCCUCCACCACCCCUCCUCUGCGGAGGACUGUUUUUUUUUUUUUUUCAAUCAAAAAUGUUUUUUUCAUUUUUUAUCAAAAAUGAUAAAUACAGCUGCAGUUAUGAUAACAACAAUAACAAUAAAUAGCAACAUCAACCUCCAUAUAAUAAUUUUUUUUUUUUACAUGUAUAUUCCCUCCACCACCCCUCCUCU